CCUACGGGCGGCAGCAGUGGGGAAUAUUGGACAAUGGGGGGAACCCUGAUCCAGCCAUGCCGCGUGUGUGAAGAAGGCCCUCGGGUUGUAAAGCACUUUCAGUGAGGAAGAACGCCUGGUGGUUAAUACCCAUCAGGAAAGACAUCACUCACAGAAGAAGCACCGGCUAACUCCGUGCCAGCAGCCGCGGUAAUACGGAGGGUGCGAGCGUUAAUCGGAAUUACUGGGCGUAAAGCGCGCGUAGGUGGCUUGAUAAGCCGGUUGUGAAAGCCCCGGGCUCAACCUGGGAACGGCAUCCGGAACUGUCAAGCUAGAGUGCGGGAGAGGAAGGUAGAAUUCCCGGUGUAGCGGUGAAAUGCGUAGAGAUCGGGAGGAAUACCAGUGGCGAAGGCGGCCUUCUGGACUGACACUGACACUGAGGUGCGAAAGCGUGGGUAGCAAACAGGAUUAGAUACCCCAGUAGUC
rnacentral:rRNA from 1 species